rnacentral:rRNA from 1 species
CGUCUAUAUACGUAUAGCAUAUCAAUAAGCGGAGGAAAAGAAGACUAACAAGGAUUCCCUUAGUAACGGCGAGUGAAGCGGGAAGAGCUCAAAUUUGAAAUCUUCAAGGUUCUACCUUGACGAAUUGUAGUUUAAAGAAGUGUUUUCUGUUAGAGGAGUAGCAAAAGUUCCUUGGAAUGGGACAUCAUAGAGGGUGAGAAUCCCGUAUUUGGUUAUUCUUUCUAGCUUUGUGAUACACUUUCAAAGAGUCGGAUUGUUUGGGAAUGCAGUCCAAAAUGGGUGGUAAAUUUCAUCUAAAGCUAAAUAUUGGCGAGAGACCGAUAGCGAACAAGUACCGUGAGGGAAAGAUGAAAAGAACUUUGAAAAGAGAGUUAAACAGUACGUGAAAUUGUCAAAAGGGAAGCGUUUGACACCAGUGUUGUUUUUCCGAAAAUCAAUUAAGAGUGGCUUGAUUUUGUGUUGUAUUGACCUUAUCAGCUUUCUUCACUCUUUUUCGAGUCUUUCUUAAUGCACUUUUCGGUUAACAAGUCAACAUCAAUUUCUUUUGCUGUAAAAGGGUAUUUGGAAGGUGGCUUUCUUUUCGGAGAAAGUGUUUAUAGCCUUAUACCUCUACAAUCGGAGAGAUUGAGGUCUGCAGCGUAGAUCCUUCGGGGCUAGAUACACUUGUGCUAAGUUAUAGCUUUUCAUAGACAACUUGUUGACUAUGUUUAGUCAUGUAGCUUACCCGCUUGUGCUAUUUUACCUACGCUUAGGAUGUUGAGUCAUCACACAUCUCU